rnacentral:rRNA from 1 species
AACAGGAUUAGAUACCCUGGUAGUCCACGCCGUAAACGAUGCUAACUCGUUUUUGGGCUUUAGGGUUCAGAGACUAAGCGAAAGUGAUAAGUUAGCCACCUGGGGAGUACGUUCGCAAGAAUGAAACUCAAAGGAAUUGACGGAGGCCCGCACAAGCGGUGGAUUAUGUGGUUUAAUUCGAUGAUACGCGAGGAACCUUACCAAGGCUUAAAUGGGAAUUGACCGGUUUAGAAAUAGACCUUCCUUCGGGCAAUUUUCAAGGUGCUGCAUGGUUGUCGUCAGCUCGUGCCGUGAGGUGUUAGGUUAGGUCCUGCAACGAGCGCAACCCCUGUUACUAGUUGCUACCAUUAAGUUGAGGACUCUAGUAAGACUGCCUACGCAAGUAGAGAGGAAGGUGGGGAUGACGUCAAAUCAUCACGGCCCUUACGCCUUGGGCCACACACGUAAUACAAUGGCCGGUACAGAGGGCAGCUACACAGCGAUGUGAUGCGAAUCUCGAAAGCCGGUCUCAGUUCGGAUUGGAGUCUGCAACUCGACUCUAUGAAGCUGGAAUCGCUAGUAAUCGCGCAUCAGCCAUGGCGCGGUGAAUACGUUCCCGGGCCUUGUACACACCGCCCGUCAAGCCAUGGAAGUCUGGGGUACCUGAAGUCGGUGACCGUAAAAGGAGCUGCCUAGGGUAAAACAGGUAACUAGGGCUAAGUCGUAACAAGGUA